rnacentral:miRNA from 1 species
AUUUUAGUAUAAGUAUGGCCAGUGAAAUAUUUGGGACAUACUUAUACUAAGA